rnacentral:misc_RNA from 1 species
UUUCCGUAGGUGAACCUGCGGAAGGAUCAUUACUAAGUGAGGGUCUCUCAGACCCAACCUCCCACCCCUGGUUUUUGUGACAUUAUUGCUUUAGCGGCUCCGCCUCUAUGGGAGGCGGCCGGGAGCUCACUGCUUUCGGUGCAUUCUCAUCCGUAACACGCUUAAAUUCUUACUUAACGUUGAAGCAGAGACGAUUGAGUAUAAAAAACACUUUCCACAACGCAUUUCUUUGUUCUGGGAUCGACGAAGAACCCCGCUUGAUGUCAGUGCACUAUUACC